UACGAAGGGGGCUAGCGUUGCUCGGAAUCACUGGGCGUAAAGGGUGCGUAGGCGGGUCGUUAAGUCGGGGGUGAAAUCCUGGAGCUCAACUCCAGAACUGCCUUCGAUACUGGCGAUCUUGAGUCCGGAAGAGGUGAGUGGAACUCCUAGUGUAGAGGUGGAAUUCGUAGAUAUUAGGAAGAACACCAGUGGCGAAGGCGGCUCACUGGUCCGGUACUGACGCUGAGGUGCGAAAGCGUGGGGAGCAAACAGG
rnacentral:rRNA from 1 species